AGAUUGAACGCUGGCGGCAGGCCUAACACAUGCAAGUCGAGCGGUAGAGAGGUGCUUGCAUCUCUUGAGAGCGGCGGACGGGUGAGUAAUGCCUAGGAAUCUGCCUAGUGGUGGGGGAUAACGUUCGGAAACGGACGCUAAUACCGCAUACGUCCUACGGGAGAAAGCGGGGGACCUUCGGGCCUCGCGCCAUUAGAUGAGCCUAGGUCGGAUUAGCUAGUUGGUGAGGUAAUGGCUCACCAAGGCGACGAUCCGUAACUGGUCUGAGAGGAUGAUCAGUCACACUGGAACUGAGACACGGUCCAGACUCCUACGGGAGGCAGCAGUGGGAAUAUUGGACAAUGGGCGAAAGCCUGAUCCAGCCAUGCCGCGUGUGUGAAGAAGGUCUUCGGAUUGUAAAGCAACUUUAAGUGGAAGGAAGGUUGUAACCUAAUACGUUGACAACUUUGACGUUACGACAGAAUAAGCAACCGCUAACUUCGUGCCAGCAGUCCGA
rnacentral:rRNA from 1 species